UACGGAGGGUGCGAGCGUUGUCCGGAAUCAUUGGGUUUAAAGGGUCCGUAGGCGGUUUUGUAAGUCAGUGGUGAAAGCCCAUCGCUCAACGGUGGAACGGCCAUUGAUACUGCAAGACUUGAAUUACUAGGAAGUAACUAGAAUAUGUAGUGUAGCGGUGAAAUGCUUAGAUAUUACAUGGAAUACCAAUUGCGAAGGCAGGUUACUACUAGUGGAUUGACGCUGAUGGACGAAAGCGUGGGGAGCGAACAGG
rnacentral:rRNA from 1 species